AUCCAAAUGACGAGUCCUGAAUAGGACGAAAAGCGCGACCUGGAU
rfam:Schistosoma rodhaini strain Burundi genome assembly, scaffold: SROB_scaffold0000274